rnacentral:rRNA from 1 species
UACCGGAUAACAUAUUGGAACCGCAUGGUUCUAAAGUGAAAGAUGGUUUUGCUAUCACUUAUAGAUGGACCCGCGCCGUAUUAGCUAUGUUGGUGAAUGGUAACGGCUUACCAAGGCGACGAUACGUAGCCGACCUGAGAGGGUGAUCGGCCACACUGGAACUGAGACACGGUCCAGACUCCUACGGGAGGCAGCAGUAGGGAAUCUUCCGCAAUGGGCGAAAGCCUGACGGAGCAACGCCGCGUGAGUGAUGAAGGGUUUCGGCUCGUAAAACUCUGUUAUUAGGGAAGAACAAACGUGUAAGUAACUGUGCACGUCUUGACGGUACCUAAUCAGAAAGCCACGGCUAACUACGUGCCAGCAGCCGCGGUAAUACGUAGGUGGCAAGCGUUAUCCGGAAUUAUUGGGCGUAAAGCGCGCGUAGGCGGUUUCUUAAGUCUGAUGUGAAAGCCCACGGUAUCAACCGUGGAGGGUCAUUGGAAAACUGGGAAAACUUGAGUGCAGAAGAGGAAAGUGGAAUUCCAUGUGUAGCGGUGAAAAUGCGCUAGAGAUAUGGAGGAACACCAGUGGGCGAAUGGCGACUUUCUGGUCUGUAACUGACGCUGAUGUUGCGAAAGCGUGGGGAUCAAAACAGGAUUAUGAUACCCUGGUAGUCCACGCC